CACAAAACCUUGCACCCAGGUCAGGCGGGGCUACCCGCUGAGUUUAAGCAUAUCAAUA
rnacentral:rRNA from 1 species